UUUAAGUAUUGAUUUAUUUUUUUCCCCCCAUCACAACUUUUCACCUCACUCACUCUUCCGUGUGACAGGUGUCCUCUUCACUCAGCUCCAGGACGAGAAUCAAUAGUGAGGAGUAUGUGACCGAUGAACGGCCUCUUGGUGACAGACUGUAGAUGCACCAGCGCCACUUCUCUGCUCCGCUGGAGGCCUAUAAUGUACGGCUGAAGUGUGUGAGUGCAUUGGCAGGUCGUUCAGGAGACAGGACACGAUUGUGAGUGUGGGUGAUAGUCUGCUGUGAUCGCUCGACGGGCCUCGGGCUGGAUGGCUGCAAUGACAGUUCAUUCAGCCAAUGAGACAUGACCAGGGAAGUUUCAGUGGGAGGAGUCCUGAUGUACCUGCAACAGACCAUCAACUAGCAUGGCUGCGGUAUCAAGAAAGUCUCAUUGGACAGAUGAAAUGGAGGAAAAAUUAGUGGAACAUUGGCAGGAGCAGCAGUGCCUGUUUGCUCUUUCCUCUGAACUAUACCAUAACCGGGUGGCGAAAGAGAAGAGCUGGAGAUAAAUUGCCAAUUCUCUUCGACAGAGAUUUUUCAGGAGGUCACUAUUAUGGAUGGUUCAUAAAGACCAAAGCACUCCUCAAAUAGCUGCACAUCAUUAAACCUUUAUUACAAGCCCCGAAGUCAAGAGCUAUCCAGCACCACGGAGCAAAGCUACAGUAUACACUCUGACGAACAGCUCUGCUGUGAAGACUAUGCUACUGUAUGCACGUUCAUUUACAUUUUUUUUCUCUCUCCUCUCCGACGUUCAAAGCUUUUUGCUGCCAUUAUAACCACCCUCAUGCAGAACAGUCACAGUCUCUCAUCCCUGGACUACGCUACUCUGUAUUCAGAUUUGCUCUCUGGGAAGAGAGCACCCUGAGGGAUUCAAGCAAAUCAACGCCUGCCGUAUCUUUCAAAAUCGCAAAGGUCAUAAUGACUCAAAGCUACAAGAAGAAACAUAGGGUUGUGUAAUUUUCUAUUCUGUUUCAUGCAUUGUCUCUUGAUUCUGUCGCUUUAUUAACUCUGUACACUUUAUUUGUCUCCCAGUACACUAUAAAGGAAAUCGAGAGUGCAUUAUUCAACACCUUAUUCCCCGUUCGUCUGUUGUUCCGUUCCUAUCGAGUGUAUCGGAGCAAGUGUGGGGGAAAAAAUAUGCAGAAUCCAGGGCUUGAUAUUCUUUGUUUAAGAAAUUCAACACACGACAUAGAAUAUGGGUCAGAAAAAAAGCAGCACAGGCAGAAUAGGGUUAAAUCAAAUUACACUGUAAUUUUCUCCGAGAAUGGGAUUUGAAUGCUGGUUUUAUUGAACGAAAUCACAGACUGGGCCCGAGGUCUUGUAUCUGAGGUAUGACAUUAGCCAGUCAGUUGAGAAUCAACACCCUGGGCCAGAAAUAGAAACGCCGGUUAAUGUGUGUGUGUGUGGGGGGGGCUGUGAUAUUCUCUGGAAAUGGAAUUAGAAAGGAGAAUUUAUUGAGCUAGGCCUCAGCUUGUGAAA